rnacentral:rRNA from 1 species
UACGGGGGGGGCAAGCGUUGUUCGGAAUUACUGGGCGUAAAGGGCGUGUAGGUGGCCAACUAAGUCCGACGUGAAAUCCCCAGGCUUAACCUGGGAACUGCGUCGGAUACUGGAUGGCUUGAAUUCGGGAGAGGGAUGCAGAAUUCCAGGUGUAGCGGUGAAAUGCGUAGAUAUCUGGAGGAAUACCGGUGGCGAAGGCGGCAUCCUGGACCGAGAUUGACAAUAAAGCGCGAAAGCCAGGGGAGCAAACGGG